rnacentral:lncRNA from 1 species
GGUGGUCAUGGUGUUGGGGAUCGGAAAAAAAACAGUUACCCUCGAACGUCCGUCACAGUCGUGGAAAACCUUUAACCUUGAACUUGACGGAUGUAAAAAAACACUCAUAUGCUAAAACAACACGGGAUGUAAAAAAACACUCAUAUGCUAAAAAAACACGGAAUCUUUCUAGUCUCGCGGGUUCCAAGCUAAGAACAAAACUCAGCUACCCUCAAAUGACAGUAGUGGGUUCCAAGUUUAACCUCGCAAGUUGCACGUCGGUAGAAGGGAAAGCGGAACUCCUUUUUAACCUCGCAUGCUCUAAGAAGACAUCUCGAAUGGUAAACCUUGUAAUCUCGCAGCGCCUCUGCUCCUGGGCUCGAGGGUAAUAAUUGACAACGGCAAAAACUAACACCAAGUGGGUUAAUCCUCGAGUGUUCGGAAUCUUACCCGAACACUGAGCUUUCAUACUUGUAUUCCUUACUCAGGGAUGAAACUCAGAAACUCAGGGAUGAAACUCAGAAGGGAGCCACUCGAGGCUUUCAUACUUAUAUUCCUUACUCAGGGAUGAAACUUAGAAGGGAGCCACUCGAGAUUAAGGUCUUUCGACAAGACUCUACGAAUCAGAAGCCUCAAGGCUGGGCACUCGGUUUGGGACGUGGGUGAAGACUCGAGGCUAAGCGCUCAGCUCAAAAUGAAGAUGAAGUAUUGAGGUU